rnacentral:miRNA from 1 species
UCUGAGCAGAUUCAAUGCCCGA